rnacentral:rRNA from 1 species
AAUAUUGCGCAAUGGAGGAAACUCUGACGCAGCGACGCCGCGUGAGCGAUGAAGGUCUUCGUAUCGUAAAGCUCUGUCCUUGGGGAAGUAGGUCUUCGGACUUGACGGUACCCAUGGAUGAAGCCCCGGCUAACUACGUGCCAGCAGCCGCGGUAACACGUAGGGGGCAAGCGUUGUCCGGAAUUAUUGGGCGUAAAGGGUGCGUAGGCGGCCGUUUAAGUCAGAUGUGAAAGCCCACGGCUCAACCGUGGGAUUGCAUUUGAAACUGGAGGGCUUGAGUAUCGGAGAGGGUAGUGGAAUUCCAAGUGUAGCGGUGAAAUGCGUAGAUAUUGGGAUGAACACCAGUGGCGAAGGCGACUACCUGGACGAUUACUGACGCUGAUGCACGAAAGCUAGGGGAGCAAAC